rnacentral:rRNA from 1 species
CCUACGGGGGGCAGCAGUGGGGAAUAUUGGACAAUGGGCGAAAGCCUGAUCCAGCCAUGCCGCGUGUGUGAAGAAGGCCUUCGGGUUGUAAAGCACUUUCAGUGGGGAAGAAAGCCUUGGGGCUAAUACCCUCGAGGAAGGACAUCACCCACAGAAGAAGCACCGGCUAACUCCGUGCCAGCAGCCGCGGUAAUACGGAGGGUGCGAGCGUUAAUCGGAAUUACUGGGCGUAAAGCGCGCGUAGGCGGUCUGAUAAGCCGGUUGUGAAAGCCCCGGGCUCAACCUGGGAACGGCAUCCGGAACUGUCAGGCUAGAGUGCAGGAGAGGAAGGUAGAAUUCCCGGUGUAGCGGUGAAAUGCGUAGAGAUCGGGAGGAAUACCAGUGGCGAAGGCGGCCUUCUGGACUGACACUGACGCUGAGGUGCGAAAGCGUGGGUAGCAAACAGGAUUAGAUACCCUCGGUAGUC